ensembl:lncRNA
GUUGAAAUGCCUUUAUUUUUCUUUUCACUUCAAAAUAACCGAUGAGGAUACACGGUAGGACACAUGGCGAAAAACAGACAAGAAAUCGCAUACAACAGGCAUGAAAGAGAUGUAAGGAUUCCUCUUAAUACCAAAUAUAUAACGUACAGACAUUUUUAACUCCAUCACUUUUACCUCCAUUACCUCAGGCCUUUUGGGAGGGGUCAGGGGUGACAUCAUGUUAAUAUCAUUACGCCCCCCUUCUCUUUCCUUUUUUACUUCAAUUGUAUUCUAACAUGAGCCUUCUUUUUUUCAGGGCGUUGUUUUCAUAAGUUCUGCUUGUAUGUUCGGUUCUUGAAAAGUUGGCUGCACACUCUGAUGUUGCCGUAUUUGCCUACGUUUUUUUUCAUCAAAUUUGGGUUUUUGUGUUUUGUGUGGUCUUUAACCACUUUCUGCAUCUAUCGGGGUCUCUGGUAACAUUCAAUGUUAUUUGUUUCGUGGACCUCAUCUGAUAAUGAGGCUAGAAAUUCAUUCUCAGCAAAAGGAAAAUAGAAGAAUGAAGGAAUCUUUUUCACGAAAUCGAAAGUUUUCCGGGACAAUUAACUUUUCAAACUCAUUUUCCAUGAUUGGACAAUGGGACUAAACUGUUUUUGCAGGAUACAUGUAAACCCUGAGUUUAUAUUUUAAUGUAUUGUUAAAAAGAGCUAGUCUAAGAAAUCUAUGCCUGCCAUCGUUGGAUGCAUUCAGAACUACAGAUUUACACAUUGGGUUAUGUUUUGUCCAUGAGGUUCAUAUUUAGUUUGCAGUUUCUCAAAAUGGUAGCCAAUGGCAACCUUAGAGCCUCAAAGAACAAAAAAUAUUUAACCAAUGUACAUUUUAAAUUAUUCUAAAACUAAAUGUUGGUCUUUUCUCUUGUUUACCAACUGAAAUAUGUCCAAUUCCUGAAAUCUUGGAAAUAAAUAACAAAUAUGCAGUAUGUGUCAAAACAAUUUGCUUGUUUGGAUAUUUUCAUCAAUGAAGAAGUUCAGGUAAACUUUGUGUGAUGUUUGUCCAGCAGGUGGCAGUCUGGAGUUAACAACACAGGGCAGUGGUGCUGCUGUGUGACCAUGUUUCAGGAAAUGAGAUCAUUUGUUUUAUAUUACAAAUCCUCUCCUCCUGCACGCCUUACAGAUAUUUGUGUAAAAGUUUACGUUUUUGGUCUAAAUGAGCUGGUUAGUUACUAUACUUCUAGAAAUAAUCUUCAAAAGGCAUCUUUGUUGUUUAAAGAUUUUAAUGGCAUUGAGUUGCAUGACAAAGAAACUCCACAUGGUUAAGUUGUUGGAUUGCCCAAAGGCUCUCUAUUUCUUCAAGUGACCCAGGCUGUAUAGCUGACCAGGCUGAAGGGGAGGAAGGCCCGCGGAACCAGAAUCAGGACUAAGAGGAGAAGACUGUCUACAGUACACGAAAAGCAACUCAAAAUGAAAGUAGCGUUAAAAGACUUGGUUCAAGAAAAUGUACUUAAAAGAUAAAGAUAAAGAGUGAUGGGAUUUUGACACAAAAUAUUUUGUUUUUCAGUUGUGUUUCUCUCUCUCUCUCACACACAACAACAACAAAAGUGUGUGUGUGUGUGUGUAAGUUCCUUUUUUUCUCAGAAACAACUCCCACAACCGACCAACCAAACUUUUAAAGGAAACAGGUUGAAAUACACAACCUUUAUCAACGCACUGCACCGGUCUUCACCUGUUUAACUCACAUUUGUUCAAGUAAAAUAAAAAGAGUUUGCACACAGAGAUAUUCAGACAUAUAUAUUUUUGUUAGGACGCCGUUUGAUGUUCACUUUAAAAACUGUUCUUAAAAAGUAGGGGGCUUUGUAAGGCCACAUUGUUUUAUUUAUACUUUUUUUCUUUGAAAUACCCAUAAUGUAUUUUGAGACUUUUGUCUGUGCCCAGCGAUUCAUAAAUAUGUCCUAUUCACUUAUGCUUAUUGCAAUCGUACAGCUCACAGCUUUUAUUGAGUUUGAGACUCAUCUUGAAACUAAUGAUUGAAACAAAAAAGUGUGGAUGUGAGGGAUUAAAUAAAGCUAAAGGUGUUGGUGAUCCUGGGACUGUUUUCAGCUACUUGAGGAUCUGAAAACGAAGACAUUUCUCUUGUAUUGAAAUUGAAUAAUCUUGUGGGGUGUUAAGAUAACAUGUUGUUUGCGGUUACAUUUCAAAACUCAUCCCCCACUGUGGCUGCUUCACAGUCCACACACUCAUUUUCCAUUAUUAGUCAUACGUUUCCGUCAUGGUCUGCCUCCCCUUUCACUUCCAGCAACUGCAGUCGUAUAUCACUUAAACUGGAGCCAAUGACAAACCAAAUAGGUUCAGAAUACCUACAAAUAAGAACAUUUGAGCAGAUGUAUUUAACGCUCUUACAGUUGCAUUUGAAACAAUGAAUCUACAAGGGAGUUGUCUUACCAGACCUCUAAAAAAACUGAUAUUUUAAUCAAACAUGUUUCAAGUGUCCAAUCCACAGGCAUGGCCAACAUGAAUCCAACUAACACUGGGUUCUCUGGUCUGGUUUCUCGACAGCGCGGAGGAAAAAGUAGUCCCCACGCUGCCCUGGGAUUUUAGGCUGUGUAGUUUUCGGUUUUACGGACUGGGGGUCUUUAACAACAUUUGGCGACAAAGGGAAAUGUUUAGGUCAUCUAUGCUGCCGUAUUUACGGUCUCAAAUACACAUUUUAGUUUGCACUUUUUAGGCACCACAACAUUGCAGCAUCGCUAAGUCGAGCUGUCAGAUGCGGCAUUAAGAAGAAGCGUGUUACUGCAGACCUGCAGAGGAAAACCAUUUUAGAAUAAACUGCUUCACGAGCUUUGAUGACCAUUUGAGUUUGUUACAAAAAUACUUAAUAUCAAAACCGAGGUGCUUUAAUCCCAAUCAUACGUUUGACAGCUGUGGCUUUCAGCCAAAACUCACUAGUUCAAGAGCUAGUUCGCGACGUCUGCGUCGCAUCGUAGUUUCUUUUCCUCUUUGAAUCGCCUCCACCUGGUGAAGCUGUAGGAGAUGUUUAUCCUCGUUUUCACUCGCAGGCGGUCGCUUUCCUUUCUGGCUCGCAAACCUUCUUCGGAUCGUCGUGCUGGUUUCGAUUUUCUCGCCUCCGGGGCGGAAGUGUGAUGAAUGUUUUUGUUGAAGGGGUUUGUUGCUUUCCGCCGCUGUUUAGCCAUGUAGGCAGCCGCUCCUCGUUUGUGUGUUUGUUUAAUAAAAGGAUGCUGGUCUAAAUAACAACAAGUUACACCUGGAUUGUUUUCAAAUACCUGCCUGAUAUCCGCCAACCAUUUCCAGCCCUUCAGAAUAAAAGCAUAGUCGCUACAAACAUUAACAAGUCAGCUGUGAUCUCAUUUCUUAUUUUUUUGUUACGUCACGUAAGUACUGAAUCAUUAUUUUGUUGCCUG